UACGACCUCCUCGGGCUUGGACGCGAACGCGUCAGAGAUCAAGAAAGCCCACUACAAGCUCGCCCUCAAACACCAUCCGGACAAGAACCCUGAUCCGGAGUCGCGGAAGCUCUUCGUCAAGAUCGCCAAUGCUUACGAGGUCU